CCUACGGGAGGCAGCAGUGAGGAAUAUUGGUCAAUGGGCGAGAGCCUGAACCAGCCAAGUCGCGUGAGGGAAGACGGUCCUAUGGAUUGUAAACCUCUUUUGCCGGGGAGCAAAAAGCAGUACGUGUACCGCAUCGAGAGUACCCGGAGCAAAAGCAUCGGCUAAUGCCGUGCCAGCAGCCGCGGUAAUCCGGAGGAUGCGCGCGUUAUCCGGAUUUAUGGGGGUAAAGGGGUGCGCAGUCGGCGAUUUAAGUCAUCGGUAAAAGUUCGGGGCUCAACCCCGACAAGCCGUUGAAACUGGCUUGCUAGAGUGGGCGAGAAGUAUGCGGAAGGCUUGGUGUAGCGGUGAAAUGCAUAGAUAUCACGCAGAACUCCGAUGGCGAAGGCAGCAUACCGGCGCCCAACUGACGCUCAGGCACGAAAGCGUGGGUAUCGAACAGGAUUAGAUACCCUUGUAGUC
rnacentral:rRNA from 1 species